UACGAAGGGGGCUAGCGUUGUUCGGAAUCACUGGGCGUAAAGCGCACGUAGGCGGAUUUGCCAGUCAGGGGUGAAAUCCCGGGGCUCAACCCCGGAACUGCCCUUGAUACAGCAAAUCUCGAGUCCGGAAGAGGUGAGUGGAAUUCCUAGUGUAGAGGUGAAAUUCGUAGAUAUUAGGAAGAACACCAGUGGCGAAGGCGGCUCACUGGUCCGGCACUGACGCUGAGGUGCGAAAGCGUGGGGAGCAAACAGG
rnacentral:rRNA from 1 species